rnacentral:rRNA from 1 species
UGCCAGACUCCUACGGGAGGCAGCAGUGGGGAAUAUUGCACAAUGGGGGAAACCCUGAUGCAGCGACGCCGCGUGAGUGAAGAAGUAUUUCGGUAUGUAAAGCUCUAUCAGCAGGGAAGAGAAUGACGGUACCUGACUAAGAAGCCCCGGCUAACUACGUGCCAGCAGCCGCGGUAAUACGUAGGGGGCAAGCGUUAUCCGGAUUUACUGGGUGUAAAGGGAGCGUAGACGGCUGGCCAAGUCUGAAGUGAAAGCCCGGGGCUUAACCCCGGAACGGCUUUGGAAACUGGCCGGCUGGAGUGCUGGAGAGGCAGGCGGAAUUCCUGGUGUAGCGGUGAAAUGCGUAGAUAUCAGGAGGAACACCGGUGGCGAAGGCGGCCUGCUGGACAGUAACUGACGUUGAGGCUCGAAAGCGUGGGGAGCAAACAGGAUUAGAUACCCGCGUA